rnacentral:rRNA from 1 species
GAGCGGCGAACGGGUGAGUAACACGUGAGUAACCUGCCCCUGACUCUGGGAUAAGCCCGGGAAACUGGGUCUAAUACCGGAUAUGACACACUGGUGGCAUNGCCUGNGUGUGGAAAGUUUUUCGGUUGGGGAUGGACUCGCGGCCUAUCAGCUUGUUGGUGGGGUAAUGGCCUACCAAGGCGACGACGGGUAGCCGGCCUGAGAGGGCGACCGGCCACACUGGGACUGAGACACGGCCCAGACUCCUACGGGAGGCAGCAGUGGGGAAUAUUGCGCAAUGGGCGAAAGCCUGACGCAGCGACGCCGCGUGGGGGAUGACGGCCUUCGGGUUGUAAACCUCUUUCAGCAGGGACGAAGUUGACGUGUACCUGCAGAAGAAGCGCCGGCUAACUACGUGCCAGCAGCCGCGGUAAUACGUAGGGCGCAAGCGUUGUCCGGAAUUAUUGGGCGUAAAGAGCUCGUAGGUGGCUUGUCACGUCGGGUGUGAAAGCUUGGGGCUUAACUCCAGGUCUGCAUUCGAUACGGGCUGGCUAGAGGUAGGUAGGGGAGAACGGAAUUCCU